GACGAACCGUGCGAACGUUAUUCGGAAUCACUGGGCUUAAAGCGCGUGUAGGCGGGCGGGGACGUCGGUGCCUGAAAGCCCCCGGCUCAACCGGGGAAGUGGGGCCGAAACGCCCCGCCUGGAGGGACGUAGGGGGACCUGGAACUUCCGGUGGAGCGGUGAAAUGCGUUGAGAUCGGAAGGAACGCCCGUGGCGAAAGCGAGGUCCUGGACGUCUGCUGACGCUGAGACGCGAAAGCGUGGGGAGCGAACAGG
rnacentral:rRNA from 1 species